rnacentral:tRNA from 1 species
UCCUCAGUAGCUCAGUUGGUAGAGCAAACGACUGUUAAUCGUUGGGUCGCUGGUUCGAGCCCGGCCUGAGGAGCCA